rnacentral:lncRNA from 1 species
AUGGGCUCCUGCAUGGCCCGAGCCUCCCCAAUGGGCGCCACCCCCUGCUCUGCGGCGCUGGGUCCCAUCGACUGCCAGGCUGAGGAGUGCCGGCACACAGUGUGGGACUGGUGGGUAGCUCUGCCUACCGCCGCUGUGGGGGAUCCACUAGGUGAAGCCAGCUGGCCUCCUGAGUCUAGUGGGGACUUGGAAAACCUUUAAGUCUAGCUAACGGAUUGUAGAGACACCAAUCAGCACUCUCUUGUCUAGCUCAAGGUUUGUGAAUGCACCAAUCAGCACUCUGUAUCUAGCUAAUCUGGUGGUGACUUAGAAAACCUUUAUGUCUAGCUAAAGGAUUGUAAAUACACCAAUCAGCACUCUGUGUCUAGCUCAAGGUUUGUAAAUACACCAAUCAGUGCUCUGUGUCUAGCUAAUCUAGCAGGGACUUGGAGAACUUUGUGUCUAGCUCAGGGAUUGUAAACACACCAAUCAGCACCCUGUCAAAAUGGACCAAUCAGCUCUCUGUAAAACAGACCAAUCAGCUCUCUGAAAAAUGGGCCAAUCAGCAGGAUGUGGGUGGGGUCAGAUAAGGCAAUAAAAGCAGGCUGCCCGAGCCAGCAGCAGCAACCAAGUGGGGGUCCCUUUCUGCGGUGUGGUAAGUUUGUUUUUUCGCUCUUUGCAAGGACUCUUGCUGCUGCUUACUGUUUGGGUCCGCACUGCCUUUAUGAGCUGUAACAGUAAUCACAAAGGUCUGCAGCUUCACUCCUGAGCCAGUGAGACCAGCAACCCAUCACAAGGAAGAAACUCCAAACAUGUCCAAAUAUCAGAAGGAACAAACUCCUGACACACUGCUUUUAAGAACUGUAACACUCACCGCCAGGGUCUGAGGCUUCAUUCUUGAAGUCAGUGAGACCAAGAACCCACCAAUUCUGGACACACUGGGUUUACAGAUGUGAGCCUCGGCGCUUGGCCACCAUGCCUUUUUUAGGGUGGCCUAUUUUAUAUGUGUACACACUUCUCCGUUUUGAAAUGAGACGUUCUUACACCCAAACAGAUCCUGAAAUAAAGCUUCAGGUUUUCUCAGAUGAUCUGCAGCAUAGACCUCCUAUCUUCCAGACCACCAAAGCUUACACAGUCCCAGAGAAGAGACAGGUGUGGGGAGUCAUAACUCACAAAGGCUCCCUUGGACUCUAGACCACUAAGAAGGUUAGAAUUUCAGGAGUAGCCGUGGAAGAUGAUGAGGGCUUAGAGUCUCAAGAACUACAAAUAAAUACCUAAAAAUAAAAUUUGUCAGUCCAGACUUGGAGAGGUCUAGUAUGUGGCUAUGAGAAAGAUGAAAAGCAACAUAGAGACUGGGUAAAAGUGGAAAGGCCCUCCAUCACACCAUUUGUUGGCGUCAUAAAGUAUACUGUGUUUCCACCCACCACAAUGGAAACCA